GAGUUUUGCCACAUUCAACCCUCCAAACUAUGGCUCCUACAUGUUUCCUACAUGGGCUAAUGUGGUAGGCUGGUGUCUGGCCAUUUCAUCAAUGACGAUGGUGCCUCUCUACGCUAUCUACAAGCUCUGCAUUUUGCCUGGGAAGUUAUGUGAUAGGCUGGCUUAUGCCAUCACCCCAGAGACAGAGCAUCAUUUGGUGGACAACGGGGAAGUUCGGCAGUUCACGCUGCAUCAUUGGUUGGUGAUCUGAAAGUUACCAAUAACACACAAUCAGAGAGAGAGAGAGACAGAGAAAGAUGAGAGAGAACACUCUGAGAGGACGUUAAGGCAAGCAUUGACAAGCUAAGACAGGAAAUAACCUUUGAAAUCAACAGAGGUGGUAAGAGAUGUUUAAAAGUGCCAACAACAAACCGUAAUAAUUGUAGUGCUCUUUUCAUUUCAGCUGUGGCACUGUGUGAAGCUGUGUGUUGACUUUGUCCACCUUUGAAACUCCUU